GCGAAAAGCGGGAGCAGAAAAGUACUUUGUUCUUGACUUCUUUCCCUCUUCUUCGUUAUUUCUUCUGUCUUCGUGACUCCGUAUAACCUCGCGAUUCGUACUUCCACUCAAACUCUCUCAGUGGUUAAGAAAUCAAUCAGCGAGGAGAUUGCUCGUACACCAGGCCUUCCAGGCUGCCUCGACUAUAGAAAGCCUAAAUCAUAUUUGGCAAAGUGGAGGACCUUGGGGCGGUGAACAAUUAGUGAGGUCAAGAUGAAGAUACUGGUAUUGCUUGCUUGAAGAAAUGGAGUGAGUCCUUUUUAUAUGCCACAAAGAACUUCACCAGGCCACAAAAUGUGCUCUCACAUGUAUGAGAGAUGAUACCGAUGGAUUUAAAACAGUAAUCCGAUGGCCCAACAUUAGGACUACUCUCGCACACACAAAGGACACAUUUGGGGUAAC